rnacentral:rRNA from 1 species
ACUCUACGGGAGGCAGCAGUGGGGAAUAUUGCACAAUGGGGGAAACCCUGAUGCAGCCAUGCCGCGUGUGUGAAGAAGGCCUUCGGGUUGUAAAGCACUUUCAGUAGGGAGGAAGGUAGUGUAGUUAACACCUGCAUUAUUUGACGUUACCUACAGAAGAAGCACCGGCUAACUCCGUGCCAGCAGCCGCGGUAAUACGGAGGGUGCGAGCGUUAAUCGGAAUUACUGGGCGUAAAGCGCAUGCAGGUGGUUUGUUAAGUCAGAUGUGAAAGCCCGGGGCUCAACCUCGGAAUUGCAUUUGAAACUGGCAGACUAGAGUACUGUAGAGGGGGGUAGAAUUUCAGGUGUAGCGGUGAAAUGCGUAGAGAUCUGAAGGAAUACCGGUGGCGAAGGCGGCCCCCUGGACAGAUACUGACACUCAGAUGCGAAAGCGUGGGGAGCAAACAGGAUUAGAUACCCUGGUAGGAUAGCG